rnacentral:lncRNA from 1 species
GGCCAACAGAAAUAAAUUGGCUACAAACACAGCAGCAGUCUAUGUAGAAAGAUAUCCCGAAAAUGUUUAUGGAUUAUUUUCCCUCACGUACAAUGUAUUGAUUAUUUUCACAACAAGCAGCUGUCAGUAGAGACUUAGAUACAGAAAACGUGACGAGAUGACAUACGAAGACGAAUCAACAGACAAACCAACAGAGGAGGGGUAGGUGAAAGUUCCCUCCUGUACACUGAUAUUCAGCAUUCUUUUGGGUUGUUUCCUUGAUAGCUCCACACCCAGUGAGUAAAUACCCAGUGAGCAGGGACAAGCCACUAGAGCCCAGGAAAGCUCUCUUUGUGUUCCUAACCAGGCAUAUUCAAAGGUAUGCCCGUAAUCUGUUGCAAAAAGUGCUGACUGCACCUAAUCGGUGUUAAUUUGCUGUGCUCUGAGUUGUACUGGCUAAUAGCCGUUAGCAGGAGCCGAGGAAUUUUGCCCUUUAUAGGUGGGGCUCAGAGCCUUGUCGAUUCAAGUCUAGCAGGAGAACAGAGUGCAUUGCUAUAAUUAUUAGUAAUUCUUAUCCCUGGGGAAAGGAAUCUGUAGCUCUCCUCUUCUGUGUCAUGAGGAAUACUUUGGCUAGAAUUUUACUGCUUCCUGCUAAUAUGUGUUGGCAUCUCCCUGAACAUGUUGCCAGAUUAAGAUAUUGGAGAGAAAAAUAUCAGAAGAGUGGGAAAAGAGAGCCAAAACGCAAGAGAAAGAAGUUUCAGUGUGUGUGAUUUGAAAUGGGCUGAGAACUAGCGAAGCAAAGUACCACCAGGAAAAUUGCUGCAGUCAACACUGCUGGGAAGAGCUGUGGUGGGAGCAGUGCUGGUUCUGACAGACAACUGCAGAAACGUCGAGGCUCUGUUGCUCUGCAACACAUCUGGGACACUUAAACCCGUUUUUAAUGACAUGAACGCAAAAGGACAGAAAACGAGGCUCACUAGUCAGUUUUAGUAUAGUAUGGUAAAUGGUUGCAGGGCCUGAUCCAGUGAUGGGGAGAGCAUUCUCCAAUAUCAUCCAGUAAAAGCAGACAAGAAAAGCAAACUUUUUCCAGGCAAACUCCCACAGAUCAUGCACUACAUAUCCAAAUACUUUGAAGGAAAGAGUGCCAGCUAAGAUUUAAGGUAAGCAGUAGCAUGAUUAUGAGCUUCUCUCACUGAUCAGAACUGUUAUCUCAACUAUGUGUAAAAAUAAUUUUGUCUAGAACUGCCACCAUGCAUCUCUUAAGGAGAUAGCCUUUGGGGGGAUAAAUUCUGGUUUUGCCCUUCAAGCUUUCUAUUUCCUGCUGUAGUGUCUCUCGUGGGAGCAAAGGGACAGUACCUAUGAAAAGUCUGUUGUGGAGAAUUCACUACAGUUUGGCAUCUGCUGUCACUGAUCAGGUUAGCAUCACUGUUCUGCAGUCUUAUCACGGGAUGAACAAGCAGACCUCCAG